GGUGGCGUAGCUCAGUUGGCAGAGCAGUCGGCUCAUAUCCGAUAGGUCGGGGGUUCAAAUCCCUUCGCCACUA
rnacentral:tRNA from 1 species